AUGGCGCCCAUGAAGGUGUACGGCUGGGCGGUGUCACCAUGGAUGGCGCGGGUCCUCGUCUGGCUGGAGGAGGCCGGCGCCGAGUACGAGCUCGUGCCCAUGAGCCGCAACGACAGCGACCACCGCCGGCCGAAGCACCUCGCCAGAAACCCCUUCGGUGAGAUCCCGGUGCUGGAGGACGGCGAUCUCAUGCUUUACCAUAAGCCUUCACGAUUUUUGACUUCUUCUUUUCGAUUUAGUAGUUGUGAAUCCCGUGCCAUCGCAAGGCAUAUUCUCCGCAAGUACAAGCCUGAGCUUCUAGGAGCGGGCAGCCUUCAGGAGUCAGCGAUGGUGGAUGUAUGGGUCGACGUGGAUGCCCACCAGCUCGAGCCCGUACUCAAGCCCAUCGUGGUGAACUGCAUCAUCAACCCGUUCGUCGGUAGGGACGUUGAACAGGGCAUCGUCGAUGAGAGCGUCCAGAAGCUGAAGAAGCUGUUGGAGGUGUAUGAGGCGAGGCUGUCAAGCAACAAGUAUCUGGCCGGUGAUUCCAUAAGCUUCGCCGACCUCACCCAUUUCAACUUUAUGCGCUACUUCAUGGCGACAAAGCACGCGGUCGUGCUCGACGCAUACCCGCACGCCAAGGCAUGGUGGGAGGCAUUGUUGGCAAGGCCAUCCGUCAAGAAGGUGAUAGCUGGCAUGCCUCCGGAUUUCGGAUUCGGGAGCAGGAGAAUACCAUGA
rnacentral:rRNA from 1 species